GGCGGACGGGUGAGUAACACGUGGGUAACCUGCCUGUAAGACUGGGAUAACUCCGGGAAACCGGGGCUAAUACCGGAUGGUUGUUUGAACCGCAUGGUUCAAACAUAAAAGGUGGCUUCGGCUACCACUUACAGAUGGACCCGCGGCGCAUUAGCUAGUUGGUGAGGUAACGGCUCACCAAGGCAACGAUGCGUAGCCGACCUGAGAGGGUGAUCGGCCACACUGGGACUGAGACACGGCCCAGACUCCUACGGGAGGCAGCAGUAGGGAAUCUUCCGCAAUGGACGAAAGUCUGACGGAGCAACGCCGCGUGAGUGAUGAAGGUUUUCGGAUCGUAAAGCUCUGUUGUUAGGGAAGAACAAGUACCGUUCGAAUAGGGCGGUACCUUGACGGUACCUAACCAGAAAGCCACGGCUAACUACGUGCCAGCAGCCGCGGUAAUACGUAGGUGGCAAGCGUUGUCCGGAAUUAUUGGGCGUAAAGGGCUCGCAGGCGGUUUCUUAAGUCUGAUGUGAAAGCCCCCGGCUCAACCGGGGAGGGUCAUUGGAAACUGGGGAACUUGAGUGCAGAAGAGGAGAGUGGAAUUCCACGUGUAGCGGUGAAAUGCGUAGAGAUGUGGAGGAACACCAGUGGCGAAGGCGACUCUCUGGUCUGUAACUGACGCUGAGGAGCGAAAGCGUGGGGAGCGAACACGAUUAUAUACCCUGGUAGUCCACGCCGUAAACGAUGAGUGCUAAGUGUUAGGGGGGUUUCCGCCCCUUUAGUGCUGCAGCUAACGCAUUAAAGCACUCCGCGCGGGGAGUACGGUCGCAAGACUGAAACUCAAACGGAAUUGACGGGGGGGCCGCACCACGCGGUGGAGCAUGUGGUUUAAUUUGAAGCAACGCGAAGAACCUUACCAGGUCUUGACAUCUCUCUGACAAUAUCAGAGAUAGGACGUCCCCUUCGGGGGCAGAGUGACAGGUGGUGCAUGGUUGUCGUCAGCUCGUGUCGUGAGAUGUUGGGUUAAGUCCCGCACCGAGCGCAACCCCC
rnacentral:rRNA from 1 species